GGCGUCGUGGCGCAAUGGCUAGCGCAUAGAGCUUCUAAACAAUCAAAUGAAAGGGGGGAAUCCCCUUUGAAAAAUAACUCUAAGGCUGCGGGUUCGAGUCCCGCCGUCGCCU